rnacentral:lncRNA from 1 species
CAGAAAAGAACCUAGGCACAGAGAGAUUCGGUUAAUUUGCCUAAUGUCACACAGCUGCUAACAGCCUGGAUUAUAUUGCAAGCACCCAGUUGCUUUGCGACUUGCCAGAAAAUGUGGACUUAGUGAUAGUGGAUGGUGUCAGAAUUGGAACAUGAAGUAGAACUUCCAGUAACCCCUAGGAGCAUCAAGUGACCCAGAGAGGUAACCCCCUCCACCAGGGUCCAUUGCAUCCAUUGCUCUCUCACAGCAACUGAGGCUCAUGGGACUGGAGUGGAGUCGGUAGGAAGGAACAGUCUUUGAAGUUAGAUGCGCCAGGUUGUAACCCCACUUCCACCAAUUGUGGUAACUUUGUGAGACAAGCCUCAAAUUUUACCACUGUACCAAGAAAUGAAAGCCAGAAUGUGGAAUUGGAGCUGGUAAUGACGACGUCAGGACAGGUUCAAAGGAAGCCCAUCACUUGAGUAAAAAUUUAUAGCCCUGCUUGUGCUGUGCUGUGCUGUGCUGUGAGUUUCAGUUCCGGGCCAGCAAAAGAUUUAUCAAAGGAAAGCAACAAGGUGUGUGGAAAUAGAAGGUAAGAAAAAUUAAUUUCAGAGAGGAAAAUAAAGUUGCUUGAGGGGCUCUUCAAUGACCAAAGGCCAUAAGAGACUGGAAGGCAAAAGGACCCAUUAAUGUAAUCCAAACAUCAGUCUCCUGCAGCAAAGAGGUGAAUGGAGAAGGGUGGAGAGUAGCUGUGGACGAGUGAAAAAGACAUCGCACCAUGUCUUCAAAUUACAUCCAGCAACUUCAUAUGAACUAUGAAACCCUUGUUGCCACAAUAGUCCCUCUUUGUUUGAACUACUACAAGAAUAAAGAAAUUUCUUUCUAAUCUUUUGCAGAA